GGGGGUUUCGUAUAAUUAUAGAAUCACGGAGUGGUUUGAGUAGGAAGGCACUUUACAGCUCAUCUCGUUCCACCCCUGCCAUGGUCCACUAGACCAGGUUGCUCCAAGUCCCGUCCAACCUGGCCUUAGACACUUCAGGGAUGGGGCAGCCACAUUUCCUCAUCUACUUGCUGACUUCUGCUCUCUCUGCAUAAACCUAACAUGAAUCUAGUACAGAUCAUUAAGCAUAUAAUGUAGGAAAAAAACCAUAGCAUACCCAAAUAAUUGUAGUAUUUAUGUAGCAAUGCCGUUACUUUUCUUUGUUCCCAACUAACAGUCAACUGCUGAUCAGUGUUGGUUGCAGCAGUGUGUGUCCUGGCAGGGCUGUGAAGCUCUGCUGGUUUUGGCUGGGGUGGGGUUAAUUUUCUUCACAGUGGCUGGUGUGGGGCUGUGUUUUGGAUUUGUGCUCAACACAAGGCUGAUAAUAGAGAUGGUUUUGUUGUUUCUGAGCAGGGCUUACACAGAGCCAAGGCCUUUUCAGCUCCUUAUAUUGCCAUGCUGGCAAGGAAGUUGGGGGUGCAUGGGAAGCUGGGAGGAGGCACAGUUGAGACAGGUGACCCCAAAUGACCCAAGGGGAUAUUUCAUACCAUACAACAUCAUGCUCAGUAUAUGAAGCUGGGGGUAGGGGGGAGAAGAAGGAAAGGGGUGACGUUUGGAGUGAUGGCAUUUGUCUUCCCGGGUCAUGGCAUGAUGGGGCCCUCCUCUCCUGGAAAUGGCUAAACACCUGCCUGCCCAUGGGAAACACCAGUUCCAAUGAAAACAUGCAUUUCUGCAUUAAUCCACUUAGAAAUCUGAACUACUGGUCUGAGAGGCUUUGCUGGAUACUUCGUUGGAACAGUAUCAUCAGCACAGAGCAGGAAAGUAAAGCAGAAAGAAGCUGCAAAUGCAGUCGUGGCAAGUAUGUUCUAUUCUCCACUUAAAUACAUUCAAGAAGGGUUUUGGUUCAGACCUGAGUGAAAACAAAGAAACAUUGGUGGAUUUAUCCUGUUUGUUGGUAUGUUUUGCAAAUAUAAAUGCCCCAAUACUUGACUUCCUUACCUACUUCAAACAGAACCAGUUUAUGUGAAACAACACAACUGGGUAAGGCAAAAGACAUCACUGCAUGGGACAGGAGUCCCAAAUCGGUGUCAUUUUCAUAGGGCAGUGAGUGAUUCCAGCCUUGAAUAUCAAGGCUUUGUUUAAGUUAGACACCAGUGGAAGAGUAGCUGGAUUGCUGCAACCUUUUGCUACUGUUUAAAAUGCGAUCCCUGUACGUCUUUCUCUCUGAUGUCCUCUACUUGCAGCUGCAAUAUCUCCUUGUUUGCCCUGCCUCUGCUAUUCAGCUGACUCCGUAGUAAGUGAAAUCAGCUUUCAGAGACUUGAAGUUUUGAUUCAUAUGAGCAAAGUGUGCAUGGAAAUGGGGGUGUGUGAGCACCAGAAGAAACAGCAGAACAAAGGUUAAAAGAAUGGCCUGUGUUGAUAAUCAAAAACACAGCAGUAAAGGCAGUAAAAUCAAGAAACACUUUCUGUCAAACCAGGCAAAUCUGCACACUGGAGCACAGACAACUCGUCAGCAGAAGAGCCUACCAUCUGACAGCUGGACAUGGCAGGAAGAUACAGCACAUCGCAAAUGCCAUUUAUUUCCUGUUGGUCCCACUGGAAGCAAACCAUAAAAUAAGGAAGCACGGAAAAUGGGCACAUAAGUUCCAUAAGGGGCAUGGAGGUAGAAGUAACUGGACUGUGAAGCACAAGGAUGCCACCACAGUCAGUGCUGGGUCCCACUAGCUUUCGUACCUGCUAGUGGGCAGAAAAGACCCCUCCAAGGUGGCUUGCCACUGGCAGUGAAAAGUAACACAAGAGAUACCAAAAGGGUGGGAUGGUUGGUGCCCAUCUUCCCUUAUGCUGCUUGCAAUGUGGGUCCUGGAAAAACCUGUGGAGCACACACACGCCUCAGGAGCUGUGAGUAUAAGGUUUUGACAGUGUGAACCAAGUUGAAUAUUGAGUUGCUUGACUGCAGUCCAGGAUGAAGAGUCCUGCUACACUGGCUCACGUGAUCUCUUGGGGUGCUCUCAGACCCUCUAUGGGCUCUGCGGCUCUGCAGGGCUGGGAUUGGGAGGGUGAGGGGGGAGCUGGAAAGUCCCAGAGCUGCAGCCAAGCUGAAGAUCCUGCAGUGAGAAUGUGGAGCAGCUUCCCAUGUCGGCGAUGGCAAGAUGCAGAGCUGCUGCUGAGAGAGCAGAGCUGGCAGUGAAAUAAAGCUUAUGGGUCUGGAGCUGAAAUCACUGAGGGGCUGGGGUAGGGAUGGUGGCUGGGAUAGGGAUGGUGUUCUUUGGAUAGGGACUGUAGGGCCUGAGCAAGCAGAAUUGCUGAUUUUUAAUGCACAGCCUCAGAAACGGGGGGGUUUGGAGGUGCAGUGGUGCCUGCAGCUCCUUUGUGCCAAGGCACCAGCAAACCUUAGUCCUGCCCCUGAUUUCCCAGGCCAUGGCAGGGAAGGAAUAUUUUGAGGUAAAAAUGAGGGCCUGGAUUGUGGACAAGUAAGAACAACCAUGAAGGUAGAACUUGGGGGGGAAUGUGCAA